GUAAAAGAGAGAGAGAAUAAUAGAGGUGCAUGGAGGGGUAAAAGAGAGAGAGAGAAGAAUAGAGGUGAAUGGAGGGGUAAAAGAGAGAGAGAGAAUAAUAGAGGUGCAUGGUGGGGUAAAAGAGAGAGAGAGAAGAAUAGAGGUGCAUGGAGGGGUAAAAGAGAG